UGUUGGAAUGGCUCAAUCAAAUCAAAUCUCCAAAGUCUUUGAUUUUGGGUCUUUUAAUUUGAUUGAGCCGUGCCAAUAUC
rnacentral:pre_miRNA from 1 species